rnacentral:lncRNA from 1 species
ACACCUAGUAGUGGAAAUGUUGGUAGUAUUGGAGUUGGAGUUGCUAGUGCAACAAGCGGUAGAAGACCACCAGUGGCUCCAACUUCUACUCGUAAAUAAAGAAGUCCUGUUUGGAAAUUUUUUGAUAUAGUAGAAGGUACUGAUAGAGUUAAGUGCAAACUUUGUAACGAAACGUAUAAACAUUUGACCGGAGGUAAUUUAGGGGGGACUGGGACAUUUAUUAGACAUCUGUCGACUAACCAUCCUAUAGAAUGGGGAGCUAAUAGGGAUGGAAGUCAAACAACAAUUAACCCUACUACCGGAGGUCUCCUAAAAUAUGAUAAAAUGAGGGAUCGAGAGGAAUUAGCGAAAAUGAUUAGAAUGGGGAGCUAAUGGGGAUGGAAGUCAAACAACAAUUAACCCUACUACCGGAGGUCUCCUAAAAUAUGAUAAAAUGAGGGAUCGAGAGGAAUUAACGAAAACGAUUGCUUUGGGUUGUCUACCUUUUUCUUUUACUUCUUCCUCUUAUCUUAUUAUAUAUAUUCAAAGGAUAUACAAUCCUUUGUUUAAAGAUAUCCCUAGAAGUACUUGUAGAGCAGACAUCUUUAGACUUCACGGCCAAUAUCAAACAUACAUN